UCUGAGAUGGUCCAAAUUUGUUCUUACUCUGCCAUGGGCACCUGGACCCUCUGCUGUGUGGCCCUUUGUAUCCUGGUAGCGAAGUACACAGAUGCUGGGGUCACCCAGACACCCAGGCACAAAGUGACAGAGAUGGGACAAGCAGUAACUCUGAGAUGUGAGCCAAUUUCAGGCCACAACUGCUUUUACUGGUACAGACAGACUGUGGUACAGGGACUGGAGUUGCUGAUUUACUUCCGCAACCAGGCUCCCAUAGAUGACACAGGGAUGCCCAAGGAACGAUUCUCAGCUCAGAUGCCUGAUGCCUCAGUCUCUACUCUGAAGAUCCAGCCCACAGAACCCAGGGACUCAGCCAUGUAUCUCUGUGCCAGCAGCACAGACACACUGCUGCAGGAUAGGGAUGCCCAAGGAACGAUUCUCAGCUCAGAUGCCUGA